rnacentral:rRNA from 1 species
CCGGCACGGGUGAGUAACACGUAUCCAACCUGCCGUCUACUCUUGGACAGCCUUCUGAAAGGAAGAUUAAUACAAGAUGGCAUCAUGAGUCCGCAUGUUCACAUGACUAAAGGUAUUCCGGUAGACGAUGGGGAUGCGUUCCAUUAGAUAGUAGGCGGGGUAACGGCCCACCUAGUCUUCGAUGGAUAGGGGUCCUGAGAGGAAGGUCCCCCACAUUGGAACUGAGACACGGUCCAA